UAAUAUUGAUUCUGUAAAGCCAGGGCCUUCUGGUAUGAAGCUUGCAUCGUUAAUUUCAGAGCUACUGAGAUCUAACCAUCACUGCCAUCAAUAAUUUAAUCUGUGAAAAAUUUGUCCAAAUUCAAGUCAAAUUUUGCUCUUUAAUAUGCAUUUCCUACUUUAUUUUUUUACAAUUAUCUUCUGCUGGAUUCACAACCCUCAAUGAUAGUAUCCAAUUGGUUUCAGGGUUUGAACGGUAUAAAAGUCCCAUCCCGGGUUUAGGAAGAGUAAGGUCCUCGGGGGUACACAAGGCCUGAGGUGAGCAGAAACUGGUUCUGCCGUUGCUAUAGCUUAUACUUAUCUGCAAGAAUAAAUUAAUAAAAAUCACCACAUAGAAAGAGUGAUAUUGCAAAUCCUAUAUUAAGGAUAAAGACUAACUAUAACAGUUUUAUCUAUUUUUAAGUAUUUGAGUUAUAGUUGUAUACUUAUCUUGUAUUUAGUUAGUUGUAGAUAUUAAGGAUAAAGACUAACUAUAACAGUUUUAUCUAUUUUUAGUAUUUGAGUUAUAGCUGUAUACUUAUUUUUAGUAUUUGAGUUAUAGCUGUAUACUUAUUUUUAGUAUUUGAGUUAGAGCUGUAUAUUUAUAUUGUAUUUAGUUAGAGACAUUAUAUAAGCUUCUGUAAUACGUUCAGUAAAUAAUACAAAAACCCUUUUCUCUAUAUCCUAGAUGGUCUAGCUCAUUUCAAAACCUAGCUCACACAUCAAAAUAUCAGUAAUUCUGUUCUUCUCAACAAUAUAAAAUAACAAAAAAUAAUAAUAAAAGGAAAAAACUCCUGCAUGAACAUACUGCAAGAUAGCUAUCCAAAACUGACUUAAGUUUCAGUAGGUCUUUGUGGGUUCUCAAAGAAAACUAUUUACACAACAAAAGGGAAAAAAAUAAAUAAAUAAAGAGAGAGAGAGAGAGAGGCCAACGAUAUUAAAAUAAUAAAUGAACACAGAACAGAAAUAUUUAAUUUGUCCAGUGCAGAUCAUAUCAUACUACCAUGUCAAAACAACCCAAAUUGCAUAUUAAACCUCAUCAAAAUUGAUUGACAACAUCCAUCAUGAUAUUUUCGAAGCAUAUACUAGAAGAUAUGUUCGCCAUUAAGAAUCUUACAGAGUUUUACAAAUCUUAUGUUAGUGUCAUUUAGUAUUAAGAACAUGUGAUUGUUUCCAAAAACAAGAAGUACUUGUCCUAGCUUCUUAUUCUCAAAUGGUGCACACACGAAUUCUACUGCAGUUUCGCUUAACUUUAGAGAAGGAUAGCACAAUCACAGAGUUCCUACAAAGUUGUCUUACGAAUUCCCAAAAUGAGUCUAUAAUCAUGCCUACUUGAACUCGUCCCAAAACCAGCAAUUAAAUGUCCCUUAUUAUCCAUACCCUCUCCCAAAUCCGAUUUAUAUUUUUUUCUUUUUCAACAAUUGACAGAGAGUACCCAAUCAGAAACCAAUCCUAUUCCAGUGCGCAAAGGGAAAGAAAACUAGAAAACUGAAGAAAAUAAUUUAACCAUGAAGACGUCCAUACAAACAACACAACCAAAGUUCAUACUCUUGCACGCAUAAAAUUUUGAGAUGUCUCACAACUAAGACUUACCUAACUCGAGAUCACUCUAGGAUGAAGAAUAGCUAAGCGGUAUCAAAUCCAGUUGACGUAGCCUCAAGCGCCGUCGUCGUUGAUGCAACUAGCUGUUGAUUGAGCUUUCCCUCCGUCGGCUGAUUACGAGAAAUAAACACGAAGCGCCGGAAACCAAUUAAUUUUUGCAGGGUACAAACUCUUAAGAUUUUGGUUUCUCCUUUUUGGUAGUUUUCCGAAGAAAUCACGUCACCGAAGGUAUAUCGAGAUGAGGUCGGUGACAGAUCAUUUCAACAGCUACAGGUGACCGGAAAUUCAUCGUUGCUGGUUACCCUUCUAUCUCUCCCCUGGGCCUCUCCCCUGGUUCCUUCGCACACGUUUUUUAACCGGUCAUUCUCAAUUUUUAGCUCUGUCUUGUCUUUAGAGUUAGAGAUUACAAAUUACAGCACUAUUGAGGACGAAGCAAAUUAGACCACAAUUGAUUUUUUUGAA
rnacentral:lncRNA from 1 species